rnacentral:rRNA from 1 species
CUGAACCAGCCAAGUAGCGUGAAGGAUGACUGCCCUAUGGGUUGUAAACUUCUUUUAUAUGGGAAUAAAGUGAGCCACGUGUGGCUUUUUGUAUGUACCAUACGAAUAAGGAUCGGCUAACUCCGUGCCAGCAGCCGCGGUAAUACGGAGGAUCCGAGCGUUAUCCGGAUUUAUUGGGUUUAAAGGGAGCGUAGGCGGACUAUUAAGUCAGUUGUGAAAGUUUGCGG